GGAUGCACAGAUGCACCGGCCCCUCUCCUCCAGGGCCAAGCUUGGCCACAGGAAAUAAAGGUGUCUUCAAAGGGACAGCCGGGAGGGCAUGCACACAAGACAAAACACAGGCGCUGCCCAGGGAACAGCUUGGAGCCGGAGAUGCACGCCCUACGUGAUCGCAUUUCUGUGCACGGCAGCACUGUUUGUAAUAACCAAACAUUAGAAGGGACCCAAAUGCCCAACCACAGAACAGAUACAUCAACUGUGUCCUAUUCGUGCUGUGGAAUGAUGAUCACAUGGCUGUGAAUAAUCUACAAACACGCAGGACAACAUGAAUGACACUCACAAGUGAUUUUGAGGUGCCUGCACCAAGGAGGGCCGCGGUGCUCCCAGGACCCGGCCACGCUGGCACUGUGAUCUUGGGUUUCCCAGUAUCCAGAACUGUGAGAAGUAAGUGUUGUUGAGCUGCCCAGUCUGUGGUGUUCUUGUUAAGGCAGCCUGAGCCCGUUAAGACAAAGGGUCACAUCAGCUCACUGGACCCGAGUAUCCUUAGCUUCCAGAAGGGCAGAGUGUUAGCCCCUCGCAGUGCUGUUACAAGAAAUGGAUGCUUUCACCUCGACAAGCGAGCAC